rnacentral:rRNA from 1 species
AGACGUAGGGGGCGAGCGUUGUCCGGAAUUACUGGGCGUAAAGGGCGUGUAGGCGGCCUUCAAGUCGGCUGUGAAAUUCCCCGGCUCAACCGGGGGGGUGCAGUCGAAACUGGGGGGCUUGAGUGCAGGAGAGGGGGGUGGAAUUCCCGGUGGAGCGGUGAUAUGCGUAGAUAUCGGGAGGAACACCGGUGGCGAAGGCGACCUUCUGGCCUGUUACUGACGCUGAGGCGCGAAAGCCGGGGGAGCAAACAGGAUUAGAUACCCUGGUAGUCCCGGCCGUAAACUCUGGGUACUAGGUGUAGGGGGCUUUGAUGCCUUCUGUGCCGUAGUUAACGCAUUAAGUACCCCGCCUGGGGAGUACGAUCGCAAGGUUGAA